AAUAAAGAAAAAAAGAACUUCUAAGGAUAUCAUAAAUAAUAUUAUUCGUCUUUGACUCCUUUUAUUUUAUUUUUGCUCAUUAUACAUGGAAAUACUAUAUAAUUAAAGCUAAUCCUUCCUUCCCAAAUCCAAUUGCUUCAUUUUUCUCCUAAAAAAUGAAUUAAACAACAAACAUCUUUUAUUUUCUUCUCUUCCUUUAUAGUCAAUUACAGUUUAUUAGCCUUCUACAUAAAUGAAAUCUUUUAUUUGCUCAGACAACAAAGCACAAAUCAAUCUUGAAGAGAGAUACUAUGAAAGUCAAGAUGAGUAUGAGUACCAUUAAUAAGAUAAGCCUGAUCAACAUAUUACAAGAGAACAUGAAAGCAAUUGAGUUUAGAUAAAGCAAUUGAUCGAUGAAUUAUUAAAACUCAGUCUGACAGAGAAAACUGAUUAAAUGCCUCGAUACAUUGGCUGUG
rnacentral:lncRNA from 1 species